rnacentral:rRNA from 1 species
GACGAACGCUGGCGGCGUGCUUAACACAUGCCAGUCGAACGGAAAGGCCCUGCUUUUGUGGGGUGCUCGAGUGGCGAACGGGUGAGUAACACGUGAGUAACCUGCCCUUGACUUUGGGAUAACUUCAGGAAACUGGGGCUAAUACCGGAUAGGAGCUCCUGCUGCAUGGUGGGGGUUGGAAAGUUUCGGCGGUUGGGGAUGGACUCGCGGCUUAUCAGCUUGUUGGUGGGGUAGUGGCUUACCAAGGCUUUGACGGGUAGCCGGCCUGAGAGGGGGACCGGCCACAUUGGGACUGAGAUACGGCCCAGACUCCUACGGGAGGCAGCAGUGGGGAAUAUUGCACAAUGGGCGGAAGCCUGAUGAAGCAACGCCGCGUGCGGGAUGACGGCCUUCGGGUUGUAAACCGCUUUCGCCUGUGACGAAGCGGGAGUGACGGUAAUGGGUAAAGAAGCACCGGCUAACUACGUG